rnacentral:rRNA from 1 species
AGAGUUUGAUCCUGGCUCAGGAUAAACGCUGGCGGCGUGCCUAAUACAUGCAAGUCGAUCGAUGGAAGCCUAGCUUGCUAGGAAGAAAUAGAGGCGAACGGGUGAGUAAAACGUAAGCAACCUGCCCACGAAGACUGGGAUAAUCCCUGGAAACGGGGACUAAAACCGGAUAGGUAACUGAAUCGCAUGAUUGAGUUAUUAAAGGUUAAAAACACUGGUGGAUGGGCUUACGGUGCAUUAGCUAGUUGGUGAGGUAAAGGCCCACCAAGGCGAUGAUGCAUAGCCGGGCUGAGAGGCUGAACGGCCACAUUGGGACUGAGACACGACCCAGACUCCUACGGGAGGCAGCAGUAGGGAAUUUUCGGCAAUGGGGGAAACCCUGACCGAGCAACGCCGCGUGAGUGAAGAAGGUCUUCGGAUUGUAAAGCUCUGUUGUAAGGGAAGAACGGUAUAAAGAGAAUUUAUACAUGACGGUACCUUACCAGAAAGCUACGGCUAACUACGUGCCAGCAGCCGCGGUAAUACGUAGGUAGCGAGCGUUAUCCGGAAUUAUUGGGCGUAAAGGGUGCGUAGGCGGUCUGUUAAGUUUAUGGUGAAAGCGUGGGGCUCAACCCCAUAAAGCCAUGGAUACUGACAGACUGGAGUACUGGAGAGGGUAGUGGAAUUCCAUGUGUAGCGGUAAAAUGCGUAGAUAUAUGGAGGAACACCGGUGGCGAAGGCGGCUACCUAGACAGAGACUGACGCUGAGGCACGAAAGCGUGGGGAGCAAAUAGGAUUAGAUACCCUAGUAGUCCACGCUGUAAACCAUGAAUGCUGGGUAUCGGGGAAACUUGGUGGCCUAACUAACG